rnacentral:rRNA from 1 species
GGCUCAGGAUGAACGCUAGCUACAGGCUUAACACAUGCAAGUCGAGGGGCAGCAGGGAUUUAGCUUGCUAAAUUCGCUGGCGACCGGCGCACGGGUGCGUAACGCGUAUCCAACUUUCCCGUUACUCUCGGAUAGCCUUCCGAAAGGAGAUUAAUACGAGAUGGUGUUCUAAUUCCGCAUGUUAUUAGAACUAAAGAUUCAUCGGUAACGGAUAGGGAUGCGUGACAUUAGAUAGUUGGCGGGGUAACGGCCCACCAAGUCCACGAUGUCUAGGGGUUCUGAGAGGAAGGUCCCCCACACUGGAACUGAGACACGGUCCAGACUCCUACGGGAGGCAGCAGUGAGGAAUAUUGGUCAAUGGCCGCGAGGCUGAACCAGCCAAGUAGCGUGAAGGAUGAAGGUUCUAUGGAUUGUAAACUUCUUUUAUACGGGAAUAACAUCACCUACGUGUAGGUGCCUGCAUGUACCGUAUGAAUAAGCAUCGGCUAACUCCGUG